GGGAGUCUGGGGCGGACUGUGCGGGCUCCUUCUCCAGGCGCUUCUAAGAACCUCAAGGAGAGGCGAGGGCUGUGAACUGCAGGGGCUGUCCAACCUCAGCACUUUGGCCCUCAUACUUUUCAGCAUGACCUAGUGCUGCUUAGAAACUUUCUAAACCCAGUAAAAAAUGUAACAUAAAUGUAGAUAUGCCAGAAAGGUGAGUUUUUUCAAUCUUUUUGAACCUACCCGAGCUUCAUUUCCAUGCUGAGCCCCUCUUCUACUGAGUGGAAAAACCCAGAUCUCAGUUGAUGUAGGUUUCCUGACCCCCUCUCCCAGCAUCAUGUCCGAGUCCCAGGUGGUUACAUAGCACUGAGGCAUAGGGGGAGGGGAGAAGUGAGUCUGAGUCAUCUUUGCAGGCUGACGUUUUCUGUUGUCCCGUCCAAACAUGUUAUAUCCAUCCAAACACGUUGCUUCCAUCCAAACAGUUUACUUAGCCAUUUCCUGCUCCUGGAAAUACUUGGCUGAUCUCCCACAGUGUUUGGGGGCCUGAGGAGAUUGUGGGGCAGCUCAAGGCCCUUCAUUAUUUCCUUUGCUUAUCUCUGGACUGGGCCAGGCCCAGGUCCCACCUCCCCUGAGAUUCCUCAGACUCGGCUGGGACUUGACCAGUGGUGAAGGGACCCCAGCAGUGACCACUGGAUUGGCAUCUUUUUCCCCUUGGUCUGGAUGACCUUUCUCCCUAGUCUAGGGGUGAGGGGUGGCGCUGGAGAGAAUGGAAAAUAGUCCUAACUAAUUACAUAUUUAUCUAAAUCUUGUGUUUAUGUCCUGGGCCUAAGCUUCUGAAGGACAGCAGCCAAGAGUUUGAUGCCUUGGUCCCCCUUGCUUAGGCGACAGCAUCCCUUCCCACAAGCAACAGAGACAAGACGCCCAGGCACUCAGACUGGUGCGGAGGUGGGCUGGGGUGGGAGAGCCCAGAGCAACACUAUUCCCGCACAUUUAUCCUGCCACGUGGGCGGGGACACCUCACUCUGAAAACUAUUUCUCAAGUAUUUCACCCCGAGUGAUGAGACCAGUGCACUGCCCAGUCUGCCGUGAUGCUUGAACUUGAGUGACUGUGUGUCAGUGAUGCUGGGUUUCAGUCCAGAUGCCUCAGACGUGUUUGCAGUGCAUGCACGGUGCUCUGGCUGGAAUGGCAACAGAGCCAGAGAGUGUGGGGAGAGUGAGUGAAAGCCCCUGCUCCACGCCAGGCUCUUUGAACACACUUGUUUUCUCCUAGAAACUUGGCUGGUGGCAGUGUGUUUACCAAAGUGGAGUGUGGAAGGGGCUAAGGCCUGUGUCUGGGCCCCUGAUAGCUUUGGGGGGAAAAUGUGCUUGAGUAUCUCACUGGGGCUCUGCCAUCUCUGGGGAAGUGAUUUCAAACCUUCACCAGCAGAGAAAUCAGCAGUCUGUCAGCAAUGCAGAUUCCCAAGCCGUACCCCAAACUGAGGGGUGAAGCCCCAGAAUCAGUGGUUUUUGAGCCAGGUGUUCCCACACAACAUGUUGAGAAACACAGUGGUGGGGCCUCUUGGGGGGCCUCCACAAGGCCGGCAAUGAUGACCCUGGUUUGUCCCCAGCCUCCUAUAGUUAGUUCUAGGCCCCAGAACCCACCUACUCUUGUUACUACACAGCCAGGUGAACACAGACGCCUCCUAUACCUGCCCAGCCCUUUCCCGUGAACAGGGAGCAGCAUGCAGGCAACUGUGAACAGCGUGAGUCCCCAAGACCUCUCAAAGCAGGUGUCUGGAAGCUGAGGACUUUAUGAAGACAAUAAAAGGAUUUGAUGAAAGCAAUUGAACAGAUACUCUGAAGUACAAGUCCACAUAAUUUAGACAUUAACUACAUGUAAUUAAUAAAAGCUACACCUUGAAUUCCA